rnacentral:rRNA from 1 species
AGAGCACAGGGUGAAUGCCAAGGCACCAGACGCCGAAGAAGGACGCGAUCAGCUGCGAUAAGCCAUGGUGAGCCGCAAAUAGGCUACGACCCAUGGAUUUCCGAAUGAGGAAACUCAGCGCGGGUAAUGCCGCGUUACCGCAUGAUGAAUCCAUAGUCAUGCGGGGGUAACCCGGGGAACUGAAACAUCUAAGUACCCGGAGGAAGAGAAAUCAACCGAGAUUCCCUGAGUAGCGGCGAGCGAAAGGGGAAGAGGCCAAACCGAUGGACUACGGUCGAUCGGGGUUGUGGACUGGCGUAAGCAACGCGUAGGAUAGCAGAAUCCGUUGGGAAGCGGAAUCAAAGAGGGUAAGAAUCCCGUACGCGAAAUCCGAAACGAGCGGCCAGGAUCCAGAGUACCACAGGACACGAGGAAUCCGGUGGGAAGCCGGGGGGACCACCCUCCAAGCCUAAAUACGUACUGGUGACCGAUAGCGCAUAGUACCGUGAGGGAAAGGUGAAAAGAACCCCGGGAGGGGAGUGAAAGAGAACCUGAAACCCUGUGUUUACAAGCAGUGAAAGCGGAAUUAAGCCGCGAUCAUGUACUUUUUGUAGAACGGACCGGCGAGUUACGUUAUGCAGCGAGGUUAAGAACUGAGAGGUUUGGAGCCGAAGCGAAAGCGAGUCUGAAGAGGGCGAUAGUUGCAUGACGUAGACCCGAAACCGGGUGACCUAUCCAUGGCCAGGUUGAAGUGGAGGUAAAGCUCCAUGGAGGACCGAACCAGACGUCUGUUGAAAAAGGCGGGGAUGAGCUGUGGAUAGGGGAGAAAUUCCAAUCGAACCCGGAGAUAGCUGGUUCUCCUCGAAAUAGCUUUAGGGCUAGCCUUGAGGGUCAUUAGCGCAGGUAGAGCACUGAAUGGGCGCGGGGGCCACAAAGCCUACCAACCCCUAUCAAACUACGAAUGGCGAAUAAUGUAGACCUCAGGAGUCAGUCCGCGAGAGAUAAGUUCCGCGGGCAAAAGGGGAACACCCCAGAUCAACCGCUAAGGUCCCAAAGUGCACGUUAAGUGGAGAAGGAUGUGGAAUUGCACAGACAACCAGGAUGUUGGCUCAGAAGCAGCCAUUCAUUUAAAGAGUGCGUAAUAGCUCACUGGUCGAGUGGUUGUGCGCCGAAGAUGUCCGGGGCUAAAACGUGACACCGAAGCGAUGGAUGCGUAGCGAUACGCGUGGUAGAGGAGCAUUGUGUGCUGGGAGAAGCCAGAUCGAGAGGACUGGUGGACGGCACAGAAGAGAGAAUGCCGGUAUGAGUAGCGAGAGGCAUGCGAGAAACAUGCCCGUCGAAAGCCCAAGGUUUCCUGGGGAAGGUUCAUCCACCCAGGGUAAGUCGGGGCCUAAGCCGAGGACGGAAGUCGUAGGCGAUGGACAGCAGGUGGAAAUUCCUGCACCACCGAGGAAUGAAGCAGUGACGCAGAAGGAUAACUCGAGCAGGGUGAUGGUCAACUCUGUGCAAGCAACGAGGUUGGGGUAUAGUGAAGUACGUACUCCUGUAAGCUGAGUUGUGACGCGGACCGAAACGAAAGUAGGGAAGCGAGUGAGUUCACGCUGACAAGAAAAGCUGCUAGUAUAUCCGAAGGUGCCCGUACCGGAAACCGACGCAGGUGGGCGAGGAGAGAAUCCUGAGACGAACGGGAGAACCCUUGUUAAGGAACUCGGCAAAAUGACCCCGUAACUUCGGGAUAAGGGGUGCCUACGAAAGUAGGUCGCAGAGAAUAGGCUCAAGCGACUGUUUAGCAAAAACACAGGUAUCUGCGAAAGCGAGAGCUGACGUAUAGGUGCUGACACCUGCCCGGUGCUGGAAGGUUAAGGGGACAUGUUAGCGAAAGCGAAGCAUCGAACCGAAGCCCCAGUAAACGGCGGCCGUAACUAUAACGGUCCUAAGGUAGCGAAAUUCCUUGUCGGGUAAGUUCCGACCCGCACGAAUGGUGUAACGACUUGAGCGCUGUCUCAACAGGGGGCCCGGUGAAAUUGAAGUAUGGGUGAAGAUGCCCAUUACCCGCGACUGGACGGAAAGACCCCGUAGAGCUUUACUGUAGCCUGAUAUUGGAUUUCGGUAACGGAUGUACAGGAUAGGUGGGAGGCAAGGAAACCAGGACGUCAGUCUUGGCGGAGCCGGCGGUGGGAUACCACUCUUUUGUUACUGAAACUCUAACAUGGACCCGUGAAACCGGGUAAUGGACAGUGUCAGGUGGACAGUUUGACUGGGGCGGUCGCCUCCGAAAGAGUAACGGAGGCGCCCAAAGGUACCCUCAGAAUGGAUGGAAACCAUUCGUAGAGUGCAAAGGCAGAAGGGUGCCUGACUGCGAGAGUGACAAUUCGAGCAGAGACGAAAGUCGGGCUUAAUGAUCCGGCGGUAUUGAGUGGAAAAGCCGUCGCUUAACGGAUAAAAGCUACCUCGGGGAUAACAGGCUGAUCUCCCCCAAGAGUCCACAU